GGGGCAAGCCUGAUCCACCCAUGCCGCGUGUGUGAUGAAGGCCCUAGGGUUGUAAAGCAUCUUUUGUCCGGGAAGAAAAAGACUGUACCGACUACGCAAUAAUGGGAGGACUGGCUUCUCGGUGCCAACAACCACCGGCAUACAUAAAUGCCAUGCAGCCCCGGUAAUA
rnacentral:rRNA from 1 species